CCUACGGUGGGCAGCAGUGAGGAAUCUUGGUCAAUGGACGAGAGUCUGAACCAGCCAAGUAGCGUGAAGGAUGACUGCCCUAUGGGUUGUAAACUUCUUUUAUAUGGGAAUAAAAUGUUCCACGUGUGGGAUUUUGUAUGUACCAUAUGAAUAAGUAUCGGCUAACUCCGUGCCAGCAGCCGCGGUAAUACUGAGGAUCCGAGCGUUAUCCGGAUUUAUUGGGUUUAAAGGGAGCGUAGGUGGAUUGUUAAGUCAGUUGUGAAAGUUUUCGGCUCAAACGGAAACUGGCAGUUGAAACGGGCAGUCUUGAGUACAGUAGAGGUGGGCGGAAUUCGUGGUGUAGCGGUGAAAUGCUUAGAUAUCACGAAGAACUCCGAUUGCGAAGGCAGUUCACUGGACUGCAACUGACACUGAGGCGCGAAAGUGUGGGUAUCAAACAGGAUUAGAUACCCCUGUAGUC
rnacentral:rRNA from 1 species